rnacentral:rRNA from 1 species
AUUGAACGCUGGCGGCAGGCCUAACACAUGCAAGUCGAACGAGUGGCGGACGGGUGAGUAAUGUCUGGGAAACUGCCCGAUGGAGGGGGAUAACUACUGGAAACGGUAGCUAAUACCGCAUACCAUCGGAUGUGCCCAGAUGGGAUUAGCUAGUAGGUGGGGUAACGGCUCACCUAGGCGACGAUCCCUAGCUGGUCUGAGAGGAUGACCAGGCACAAUGGAACUGCGGCACGGUCCAGAGUGCUACGGGGGGCAGCAGGGGGGAAUAUUGCACAAUGGGGGAAAGCCGGAGGCAGCAGCGCCGCGGGCGGGAUGUCGGCCUGCGGGUUGUAAACCGCUUUCAGCCAUGAAGCGGUAGUGGCAGAAGAAGCACCGGCUAACUACGUGCCAGCAGCCGCGGUAAUAC